UGGGGAAUUUUGGACAAUGGGGCAACCCUGAUCCAGCAAUGCCGCGUGUGUGAAGAAGGCCUUCGGGUUGUAAAGCACUUUUGUCCGGAAAGAAAACGCCGUGGUUAAUACCCGUGGCGGAUGACGGUACCGGAAGAAUAAGCACCGGCUAACUACGUGCCAGCAGCCGCGGUAAUACGUAGGGUGCAAGCGUUAAUCGGAAUUACUGGGCGUAAAGCGUGCGCAGGCGGUCCGCUAAGACAGAUAUGAAAUCCCCGGGCUUAACCUGGGAACUGCAUUUGUGACUGGCGGGCUAGAGUAUGGCAGAGGGGGGUAGAAUUCCACGUGUAGCAGUGAAAUGCGUAGAGAUGUGGAGGAAUACCGAUGGCGAAGGCAGCCCCCUGGGCCAAUACUGACGCUCAUGCACGAAAGCGUGGGGAGCAAACAGGAUUCAGAUACCCUGGUAGUCCACGCCCUAAACGAUG
rnacentral:rRNA from 1 species